rnacentral:rRNA from 1 species
AUGAUGAUUUCAAAGAUGCUUGCCGAAUUCAGAACCUUGGACAACGAUGCGGUGCAAGUUUUCAAGGAAGCUUACCGCGAGGCUUGUAAGUUCGCAUCUCAAGUGGUUCACCCAACGCUAUCCGAGCCAGUGCUACCCUCUCAGUCGGUGUUGUGUCCUCGGCCAAACAUCAUCACCCUCAACAAGACUCUUUUCCGGAUCCACAAGCAACAUAUGCUUGGAUCAAUUUUAGCCACACCCCCAGUAGCUGAACCCCAACCCAUAGUGAUCUCAGAUGAUGAAGAUGGAGAUUGGCUCAGUCUUUGUCCUCCCGGAGAGCCCCAGCAAGGCAAGUCCUCUGCAUGA